rnacentral:lncRNA from 1 species
AAAAGCAGCUUUGUUUAAUUCCAAACAAAAAAAAAAAAAAAAAAUUAUUCAACAUCAAUUAAAAGCAGCUUUGUUUAAUUCCAUAUAAGAAAUUUAAUUUGGUAUCAAGAACAUUAAUAACACGAAAGGAAGUAAAAUAUAUUCGCGUGGAUCGUCCGGGAUGAACUGUACAAGGUUAAAGCGAUUGUAUGUCAGGCCUGGUUCUACCGGGCGUGCAGAGCGUGCAUGCACGACCGCGGCCGAAUAUAGAGGGCGGCCGCCCAGCUCUGGAUUUUUGUCAUCGAAUGUCGCUUCAAAGAAAAACCGGCAAGGCAAAUCCGAAACACAAUAUGUGAACCUUAUGCACGAACGCAGCACAUUAAUCAAGAAUUUUGUUAAUGUUUAAUGUUUGUUUCUACAAUCUUCGUUAUUGUAAAAAACGCAAUUUUAAAUUUAAUUUUCAUUUUGGAAG